UGAGGGAAUAUUUGGGGUCAAUGGGCGAGAGCCUGAACCAGCCAAGUAGCGUGCAGGAUGACGGCCCUAUGGGUUGUAAACUGCUUUUAUAAGGGAAUAAAGUGAGAGCCGUGACUCUUUUGCAUGUACCUUAUGAAUAAGGACCGGCUAAUUCCGUGCCAGCAGCUGCGGUAAUACGGAAGGUCCGGCGUUAUCCGGAUUUAUUGGGUUUAAAGGGAGCGUAGGCCGGAGAUUAAGCGUGUUGUGAAAUGUAGACGCUCAACGUCUGCACUGCAGCGCGAACUGGUUUCCUUGAGUACGCACAAAGUGGGCGGAAUUCGUGGUGUAGCGGUGAAAUGCUUAGAUAUCACGGAGAACUCCGAUUG
rnacentral:rRNA from 1 species